UUUAAAAAAUUGCAGUUUUACCUUAUGCAUACACAAGAUUUAACAUGUUAAAUGAUACAUAAGUGCAAAUUUGUUUCGCAAAACAAAUAAUGUUAUGUUGGACAUUAAGUGUUAUGUUUUUAAAUUUUAUUUAAUAUUUUAAAAUUAAAUCCUGCCAUGGACCUGUUUGAACUAUUACAAUCGGUAAACAAACGUUUAAUAUUUUCAAAUGUAAAAAACUACUAAAUUGACAAUGGAUUAAAACGUGACUUAUUACACUGGCACAAUGGAUAGUGAUAUGAUUUAUAAUUUCCCGUGUACAAGUUGUAAAGAAAAUGGAAUGAAUUCGGAAUCAGUGAGCUACUGUGAAUCCUGUAAAAAACAUUUCUGUACCAUCUGUGUUAAAAUGCAUGACCGUAUUCUAAAGGAACACCAUGUUCUUGACAAGAGCAGACAACAUUUAUGGCCCAAAGAAACGGAAGGUGAUCACAACACGAUCGCGUCUGCCAAAGGUGAUAACACUCAGGACACAGGACGAAAACUCGAUCUUGAUAAUCGGAAAUCAACGCAAGCCAAAGAAGUGUUUGGAGAAGUCCUCUAUAGUCCCUUAACAACAUUAUGUGGAAUAGAAGGGAAAGCUACCUUGUACUUCGACGACAAAGGCAUCCGUAUAAUACAUUUAGACAGCAAAGCGCAUGUCGAAAUUCCGUUACAUAUGAUAAGAAGAUACGGUAUAAAAGAAUCAUGUAUAUUGUUUUUUGAAGUUGGAAGGCGCUUCAGCUUCGGAGAGGGAUUCAUAUACACCAGGUGUUGUUCACGUGAGGAUGCGAAAUUGGCAAACGCAUACAUGAAUAAAGUAUGUGGCAAAAGAAAAUAGACAUCGACUGUAUAGAAAUGUGUUUAACAUAGUAGACAAACGCGUACUUAUGAAUUACUGUACAUAAAUGAUGUGGAUACACAUUGAUCAAUUUAUACACAUUUUGGUUAACUCUCUCUAAAAGAAAACAAUCACCAGUGAUAUAUAUUUGGCUGCUGAAGUUUAUCUUUUAAAGGGACUCGGUCAUAUUUUGGCACCAAUUUCUUUUUCCUGGUAUUGCAAACACUUAUAGUAUAUGUGUAUUAUAAUUUUACUCUUUAUUACCGAACUCGCAUAAAAAAACAUUAAAAGCAUACGAAAUUUCUGCUUUUUGUUGGGUGUGAAAUUCUAAAAAAGAAAGAAACUUUAAUAAUAGGUAAUUAAAUGACUCGGGCAUACAUGAAUAUGCAAUUUUUUACUAUUCCAGUAUGCGGCAAGUUAGAAUCGAGCUCCAAAAAGCAUGUGUUACAGUGUAGUUGAUUUUGUAGUUACAUAUCAUUGAUCCUAUAUAUGAAACGCACACAGGUUUCCACCGGAUCACAAGACCAACUGAACUUACGUCACGAGUUUGAUUGACGGGUCAAUUGACCAUUCAGAUAGCCGCACUGAUAAACCCGCAUCGGCUUGUCUACUAUCCGCCGUUUUGUCCGACAAACAAGUGUUUUUACGGUUUUAUAUCCGUCAAAUAUUUUUUUCCACUGGAAACAUGUUGAUUGUUAUCGUACACAGACAGUAGAUCCCUCGAAAGACUUGAGAUCAAUAUCAAGUUAUAUCCAUUCUCGAAACCAGACAGAAACCUGUGUAUGAGUUGCCUCGAUUAUAUGGGUGGCCUGGAUCUGGAUUUGGAAGAAAUAAAAAAUCGGCGCUUUGUUGAUGGCCAACCUACAACGCGAAACCCUGAUCCUCUACCAGCAUUGCCGUAUAAUCACACUACGCCUGUAAGACGGCCGCCAUAGGUGCGAGCCUUCCAGAAAAAGAUUGCGGCUUGACAGCGCGUCCUACAACCAAGGACACAAACGGCAAGAACAGCAGUUUCCAGCUUACCCACUUCUAGAAGAUGAAAAUGACAAGAUCAUUGCUAACCGGUCGCCAACAACAGCGACAUAAACUGUGCCAUCCAAUGAUCAAACAGAUGGUCUUGUCUGGUACAUGCAACAAAGUCGAUGAAAGUAGCCCCUGAAAUCAUAAGCUGACCUUGCACCAAAAAGUAAUGAUGAUUUUUUAAAGCCUGAUUGUUUCCCCAUCAUCAAUCAUCAAUAAGCCCUUCAAAUUUCUGACUGACUCAAAUAUUGUUAUGUCUAGAGCUGAAUAUGGACACUUAUCUUCCACAAUUCCACUUUCACCAUCUUUGCAAAUGAUGCCAUAUAGGCUGGCACCCAGAAAUGGGUUGAUGUACAUUUUCUUGACAUUUUUUCUCAUUUACAUGG